rnacentral:siRNA from 1 species
UAAAGCGUUGUCCACUCAGCAGCA